GGCGACGUGGCCAAGAGGCUAAGGCAGAGGACUGCAAAUCCUUUAUCCCCGGUUCGAAUCCGGGCGUCGCCUCCA
rnacentral:tRNA from 1 species